UUGGUACUCCCUCCGUCCGAAAAUACUUGUCAUCAAAAUAGAUAAAAGGUGAUGUAUCUCAAACUAAAAUACAUCUAGAUGCAUCCUGUUUUAUCCAUUUUGAUGGCAAAUAUUUCCGAACGGAGGGAGUAUUAU
rfam:Triticum aestivum genome assembly, contig: Triticum_aestivum_CS42_TGACv1_scaffold_131256_2BL